UCGCGCGGGCAGCUUCGGCUGUCAGCGGCGGACGGGUGAGUAACGCGUAGGUAUCUAUCUCCGGGUGGGGGACAACCGUGGGAAACUACGGCUAAUACCGCAUGAAGCCCGAGGGCCAAAGCAGCGAUGCGCCUGGAGAGGAGCCUGCGUACGAUUAGCUUGUUGGCGGGGUAAUGGCCCACCAAGGCGACGAUCGUUAGCUGGUCUGAGAGGAUGAUCAGCCACACUGGGACUGAGACACGGCCCAGACUCCUACGGGAGGCAGCAGUGGGGAAUAUUGGACAAUGGGCGCAAGCCUGAUCCAGCAAUGCCGCGUGAGUGAAGAAGGUCUUCGGAUUGUAAAGCUCUUUCGACGGGGACGAUGAUGACGGUACCCGUAGAAGAAGCCCCGGCUAACUUCGUGCCAGCAGCCGCGGUAAUACGAAGGGGGCUAGCGUUGCUCGGAAUGACUGGGCGUAAAGGGCGCGUAGGCGGUUCGUACAGUCAGACGUGAAAUUCCCGGGCUCAACCUGGGGGCUGCGUUUGAUACGUGCGGGCUUGAGUUCGGAAGAGGGUCGUGGAAUUCCCAGUGUAGAGGUGAAAUUCGUAGAUAUUGGGAAGAACACCGGUGGCGAAGGCGGCGACCUGGUCCGAUACUGACGCUGAGGCGCGAAAGCGUGGGGAGCAAACAGGAUUAGAUACCCUGGUAGUCCACGCCGUAAACGAUGUGUGCUGGAUGUUGGGCAGUCUGACUGUUCAGUGUCGUAGCUAACGCGAUAAGCACACCGCCUGGGGAGUACGGCCGCAAGGUUGA
rnacentral:rRNA from 1 species